rnacentral:lncRNA from 1 species
CCAUCAGCUCAAUGACAUCAUCACCCUCACAGUCCAUCCGUCCAAUCAUCUCCAUGGCCACUCAUGGUCCAUCUGUCCAAUAUCCGUGUCCAACAGAGUUCCAGAACAUUCUGAGGGUCCCACCAGCUCAAUGGCAUCAUCACCCUCAUGGUCCAUCUGUCCAAUCCCUGUGUCCAAAGAAGUUCCAGAACAUUCCGGGGGUCCCAUCAGAUUCUCACCCUCAUUGUCCAGCCCUCCAAUCAUCUCCAUGGCCACUCAUGGUCCAUCCAUCCAAUCCCUGUUCUAGAACAUUCUGGAUGUCCCAUCAGCUCAAUGACAUCAUCACCCUCACGGUUCAUCCGUCCAAUCAUCUCCAUGGCCACUCACGGUCCAUCCAUCCAAUCCCUGUUCUAGAACAUUCUGGGUGUCCCAUCAGUCAGUGACAUCAUCACCCUCAUGGUCCAUUCCAUCCAAUCAUCUCCAUGGCCACCCAUGGUCCAUCUGUCCAAUCUCCAUCUCCCACACAGUUCCAGAACAUUCCAGGGGUCCCACCAGGUCAGUGACAUCAUCACCCCCAUGGUCCAACCCUCUGAGCAUCUCCAUGGCCACUCACGGUCCAUGUGUCCAUCCAAGCAUGUCUAUGGCCACCCAUGGUCCAUGCAUGCAAUCC